CGCCGUCGCAGAUUCCGCCGAGAACGGUGCUACAAACUUCCCCGAGAAUGAAAACCUCACACCUUCGGGAGUCACUGCCUCCUCAUUGCUCAACGAAGCCUCCGGCGCCUUCCCCGAAUCGAAUCAGCCGGAUACCCUAACUGCCGAGACUGCCCCCGAUGCGAACGAUUCCGCGGCGGAGAGAUGGCCAGGAUGGCCUGGGGAUUGCGUGUUUCGUGUGAUCGUUCCUGUAUCUAAGGUCGGAGCUAUAAUCGGACGCAAAGGAGAUAUCAUCAGAAAGAUGUGCGAGGAGACUCGCGCUCGCAUCAAAGUCCUCGACGGUCCCACCACAACUCCUGAUCGCAUUGUUAGUAUCUCUCCUUUAUCGUUCCGAAUUGGGAUUUUCUAAAGGUUGUAACUUUCUUAAACCUAAUUAGAGAAAAUUAGGGUUUUUGUUAGCAUCAGUAUUCAGAUUCAUGGGGGUAUGAUCAUUGCGAUGCUCUUUCUAGUGAAAGUUGCAAGCUUUCUGUGUUUGAUUGUAGUUUGAAGUGUCCACUUGAGUUAUUCCGUUUAAGUCGAAGUUUCAGUUUUGAUUGCUUUAUGGGUUUGAUUGUAGUUUUAAGUGUCCUUUGUUAUGUUUAGGUGAUGAUAUCUGCAAAGGAAGAACCAGAGGCAUACAUGUCCCCUGCGAUGGAGGCAGUUGUAAGGGUGUUCAGAAGAGUUUCGGGGUUGCCUGAUAGUGAUGAUGAUGAGGAUCUUCAGAACGCUGGAGGUGCCUUCUCUUCAGUGCGUUUACUAGUUGCAUCUUCGCAGGCGAUUAAUUUAAUCGGGAAACAAGGGUCCUCUAUUAAAUCUAUAGUAGAGAACUCUGGUGCAUCGGUUCGCAUUUUAUCAGACGGUACUAACAUUAUCUAUGUUUGUUAUUUCUCAGUUAACUGUCAUCUCUGGAGUUGUUAAACCGGAUGAUUAUAAGUACACUGUGUUUUCUUGUUGCCAGAGGACACACCGUUUUAUGCUGCGCAAGAUGAGAGGAUAGUGGAUUUGCAGGGGGAAGCUUUAAAGAUCGUAAAGGCGUUAGAAGGUGUUGUAGGACACCUGAGGAAAUUCCUACUCGACCAUUCUGUGGUUCCUCUCUUCGAGAAACAAGUAAGCUUGAUUCUCUGAAACGACUUCUUCCUUUUUUUCAAUUCUCUCGGAAUAACCUAACUUCUGUGAUUUAUUUUCUUCUCUUUAGUAUCUAGCUAGAGUCUCUCAAGUUCGUCAGGAAGAACCGUUAGCUAACAACAAGUCAGCUCUCCACGCUGCUUUGUCAAAUGCAAUCGAGUCUGAUCUCAUGGCACGGAGGGAAGCUCUGUUUUUGGAGCGGGAUACUCGGGUGGAGUCAUUUGUUCAGCCUUCGGGAGCUUCCAUAUACAGUCAGGAUCCUGCACUCUCCGCCAGACACUCCCCUGGCCUCGCUCGAGUUUCUGCUGCUUUUGUUACACAGGUAGUUAUCACGUUCUUGUUCUUUUUUGGUCUUCUACUAGCGUCUUUGUCUUAUCGCUUCUAAUUUAAUCUCUUGGAACUAGUGAAGAUUUUUCUAUAAUGGGUGUUUCGUACCAGGUAUCUCAGACGAUGCAAAUACCGUUUUCCUAUGCGGAGGAUAUCAUUGGUUUAGAAGGAGCUAAUAUAGCCUUCAUCCGUAGAAGAAGCGGAGCUACCAUUACCAUUCAAGAGAGUCCACAUCCUGAUCAAAUCACAGUGGAAAUCAAAGGGACAUCUUCUCAAGUACAAACUGCUCAGCAACUAAUUCAAGUAAGAACACAUUUCAUCUAUAUAUAUACAUAUGUUACAUGAAAUGGCAUUGUAUAACAAAAUACUAAGAUUACUCUUCCUUUUUACAUGCUACCGUCUGGUUCUUUCCUCGGCAUUAAACUGUAUAUGUCGUUUACCUAUGUGUAGGAGUUCAUCAGCAAUCACAAGGAACCGGCUUCGGUUUCAGGGGGAUAUGCUAGAGUGGAUACUGGUUAUGUACCUGCGUACCCUCCUCAGCUGAGCAACCUUCAAGAGUCGCUCGCGAGCAGCUACAUGGGCACAGAGACGGGGCAGUACAGACCAACAGCAUACUCUCAGCUUGCUGGUCCGUCAAAUAGCAGCUUUCGUAAAAAUCAUUAAAAAAAACAACCUUUUGAUGAAAAAAUCUGCAAGAAUACUUAUACAUCAACAAAAAAUUCUAGUUAUCCUAAUUUCUAAUACACAAUCCCAAAUCUACAAUAGUUCUCUAUAAAAAAGAAAACUUCCGAAAAAUAGGAGGUUUUUCAUAAAUUAUUUAAAAAAUGCAACCUAUUGAUGAAAAAUUCUGAAUGUAUACUCAUCUAUUAACAAAAAUUCUUGUUAUACUAUUCUCUGAGUCACAAUCCCAAAUCUACAAUAGUCCUGUAUAAAAAUGAAAACUUUCCAAAAAUAGCACCUUUCGUAAAAAUUAUUAAAAAAAAACAACCUUUUGAUGAAAAAAUUUAAAAGAAUAUUUAUAUUUCAACAAAAAUUCUAGUUAUCCUAAUUUCUAAUACACAAUCCCAAAUCUACAUUAGUUCUCUAUAAAAACGAAAACUUCCGAAAAAUAGGAGGUUUUUCAAAAAUUAUUUAAAAAAUACAACCUGUUGAUGAAAAAAUCUGAUUGAAAACUCAUCUAUUAACAAAAAUUCUUGUUAUACUAAUCUCUAAGUCACAAUCCCAAAUCUACAAUAGUCCUCUAUAAACAAUCUUUUAAUGAAAAAUUCUGGAAGAAUACUCAUAUUUCAAAAAAAUCUUGUUAUUUUAAUUUCUCAGUCACAAUCUCAAAUAUACAAUAGUUAUCUAUACAAAUGAAAACUUUACAAAAAUCGUAGCUUUUAUAAAAAUUAUUUAAAAAAUGCAACAUAUUGAAGAAAAAAAUCUGAAAGAAUGCUUAUAUAUCAACAAAAAUACUUGUUAUCCUAAUUUCAAAGUCACAAUCCCAAAUCUACAAUUGAUCUCUAUUGAAAUUAAAACUUUCCAGAAAUAGCAGGUUAUUAAAAAAUUAUUUUAAAAUUGCUACCUAUUGAUGAAAAAUUCUCAAAGAAUAUUCAUCUAUCAACAAAAAUUCUAGUUAUCCUAUUUUCUAAGUCAAAAUCCCAAAUCUACAAUAGUUCUCUUUAGAAAUGAAAACUUGCCACAAAUAGUAGUUCUUUGAAAGAAUACUCAUUUAUCAAAACAAAAUUCUUGUUAUCCUUAUUUCUAAGUCACAAUCCCAAAUCUACAAUAAUUCUCAAUAAAAAUGAAAACUUUCCAAAAAUAGGAGAUUUUUGAAAAAUUAUUUAAAAAAUGCAACCUAUUGAUUAAAUAUUCUUUAACAAUACGCAUAAUCCCAAAUCUACAAUAGUUCUCUAUUGAAAUGAUAACUUUUCAAAAUUAUUUUAAAAAUGCAACGUAUCGAUGAAAAGUUUUGAAAGAAUACUCAUCUAUUAACAAAAAUUCUUGUUACACUAAUUUCUAAGUCACAAUCCAAAAUCUACAAUAGUUCUCUCUAGAACAAAAAACUUUCCAAAAAUAGCAGCUUUCGUAAAUAUUAUUGAAAAAAAUGCAACCUUUUGAUGAAAAAUCCGAAAAUACUCAUCUAUCAACAAAAAUUCUUGUUAUCCUUAUUUAUAAGUCACAAUCCCAAAUCUAAAAUUGUUUUCUAUAGAAAUGAAAACUUUCCAAAAAUAGUAGGUUUCUAAUUUUUUUUUUAAAUGCAACCUAUUAAUGAAUAAUUCUGAAAGAAUAUCCAUCUAUCAAAAACAUACUUGUUAUUUUAAUUUCUAAGUCACAAUCUCAAAUUUACAAUAGUUCUUUAUACAAAUGAAAGCUUUCCAAAAAUAUCAGCUUUUGUAAAAAUUAUUUAAAAAAUACAACCUUUUGAUGAAAAUUUCUGAAAAAUACUCAUAUAUCAACAAAAAUUCUAGUUGUCCUAAUUUCUAAGUCACAAUCCCAAAUCUACAAUAGUUCUCUAUAUAAAUGAAAACUUUCCACAAAUUGCAGUUCUCUGAAAGAAUACUCAUCUAUGAAAACAAAUUUUUGUUAUCCUUAUUUCUAAGUCAAAGUCCCAAAUCUGCAAUAUUUUCUUAUAAAAAUUAAAACUUUCCAAAAAUAGGAGGUUUUUACAAAUUAUUUAAUAAAUGCAACCUAUCAAUGAAAAAUUCUGAAGGAAUACUCAUCUAUUAACAAAAAUUUUUGUUAUACUAAUUUCUAAGUCACAAUUCCAAAUCUACAAUAGUUCUGUAUAGAAAUGAAAACUUUCCAAAAAUAGUAGUUUUUCUAAAAAUUAUUGAAAAAUGUAACCUAUUGAUGAAAAAUUCUGAAAGAAUAUUCAUCUAUCAAAACAAAUUAUUGUUACCCUUAUUUCUAAGUCACAAUCCCAAAUCUACAAAGUUCUCAAUAAAAAUGAAAACUUUCCAAAAAUAUGAGGUUUUUAAAAAAUUAUUUGAAAAAUGCAACAUAUCGAUAAAAAUUCUGAAAGUAUACUCAUCUAUUAACAAAAAUUCUUGUUAUACUAAUUUAUAAAUCACAAUCCAAAAUCAACAAUAGUUCUCUAUAGAAAUAAAAACUUUUCCAAAAAUAGCCGCUUUCGUAAAAAGUAUUGAAAAAAGGCAACCUUUUGAUGAAAAAUUCCGAAAGAAUACUCAUCUAUCAACAAAAAUUCUUUUUAUCCUUGUUUCUAAGUCACAAUCUCAAAUCUACAAUAGGACUAUCAUUGUGAAGCAGAAUUCACCAAGUGUUGGAUUGUUCACCCACCAAUAGGGAACGUGAGCUGGGUUUAGACCGUCGUGAAAUAUGUUAGUUUUACCCUAUUGAUGCCCGCGUCACAAUAUUAAUUCAACCUAGUACGAGAGGAACCGUUGAUUCGCACAAUUGGUCAUCGCGCUUGCCCAAUAUCAACAAAGAAUUGAAACGACAUCGUAUAUAAAUGGCUUUUUGAAAAAAUACUCGUCUAUCGGAAGAUGUUAUAAGUUUAGGGUUUAACUGGUGACCAUUAUAGGAACAUUAGGAAUGAUUAGGAAAAAAAUGCAGAGGAAUAAAAUUAGAGGAAUGAAAGGAACAAAUUUGUUCUAUAUUCCUCUAGAAUAAAAUGAAUGAAAAGGAAAAACUAUUCAUUGUAAACGGUAAAAAAGUUUUGGAAUAGUAAGGAAUGCAUUAUUCCUUUUCAUUCUUUGGUCAACAGUUAGACCAUAAAUAUUCGUCCGACUGGUGACCAUUCUGGAAACAAGAGGAACGAAUAGAAAAUGAACGUAAAGAAAUAAAAUUGGAGGAAUGAAAAAAAAUGGUUGUUCCAUCCCAUAUUUAAAAAGGAAUAACUUUGUUCUUUAUUUCUUUACAAAAAAAGAAUGAUAGGAAAUUAGAAAGAAAAAUUAUUCGUAAUGAAUGGUGAUUUUUUUAUGAAUGCUAGGGAAAGCAUUAUUCCUCGUUGUGAGCGUUCAUGAAUAUGGCUUUUGGUCGGAAGAAAAAAGAAUAUAGCUCAUGGGCUAAAAGAAGCCCAAUUUAAUAUCAUUACGGGCCUAAUCUACAUAACAUGCCCAAAGGCCUAAACAUCUGAGUUGAAACGACAUCGUAUAUAAUCAAAGGUCAAAUCAUCUUCUCCUUCUCGCUCGCUCGCUAUCCCCUUUUUUUUAAUUUGUUCCGAUUCUAAUGGCCGCCGUCGCAGAUUCCGCCGAGAACGGUGCUACAAACUUCCCCGAGAAUGAAAACCUCACACCUUCGGGAGUCACUGCCUCCUCAUUGCUCAACGAAGCCUCCGGCGCCUUCCCCGAAUCGAAUCAGCCGGAUACCCUAACUGCCGAGACUGCCCCCGAUGCGAACGAUUCCGCGGCGGAGAGAUGGCCAGGAUGGCCUGGGGAUUGCGUG
rnacentral:lncRNA from 1 species